GCAAAUAUUAUUUGUCACUUUCAUUCACUUUAUACUCAUUCGAUAGCAUUAGAAUGUCAAAUUUUUCAUGUCAUUCCUUAAGAGUUUAUUUUUGACCUCACAAAGAAUUAUCUAACUUACAGAACUUGUUUUCUAGUCCAUGAAUCACAAAACCUUCAGGUUGUUUAAUAUAGACUUCUUCUUCUAGUUCACCAUAAAGAAGGCAACUUUCACAUCCAUUUGGAGUACUAUCGAGUUAUGAACGGCGGCUAAAGGGACUAGUACUCUUAUGGAUAUGAUUCUAGUGACUGGUGAAUAAGUGUCGAAGAAGACUAUAUUUUUCUCUGUCUAAAACCUUUGACUACAAGGAGAGCCUUGUAUUCAUCAACCGUACCAUCAGGUUUUAGUUCUUUUUCCUAAAAUCCAAAUACAACCGAUUAGUUUGCAACUAUGAGACAAGUCAACCAAGUGUCUUGUUUUGUUAGACUCUAGAAAAUCCAUUUCAUCGUUUAUUGCUUCUUGCCAUAAUUCAGCAUCCAAUAAGGAUAUAGCUUCUUUAAGGCUUAAUGGAUAUUCUUCCAAUGUAUAAACCGAGUUCAUACUCUUUAGCUAUUCUAGCUUUCCUACCUCCUCGAGGUUCUAUAACAUCUGGUACGAUGUUUUCAUAACUAUUUCUGAUUACAUGAAUGUGAUCAGAUAUAGUGCCCCCACUAGUUCUUAAUUUUUAGAAGGGAAUUUAUUUUGCCCCCACUAAUGUCGUGCUCCCACUAGUGCCCCCACUAUUCUUUAGUUUAAAGGGGUAAAUAUUUACAUAGAAAUCGGCGUCUUUUAAUUCUAUGAUCACUUUAACAUUUAGGUCAUAAAACCUAUAUGUUUCGCUAUUUAUAGCAUACCCAAUGAAUAUACAUUCAUAGGCUCUACUAGUGAGUUCAACUCUCUUGGGGUCCAGAAUCUAAAUAUAGUCCAGACAAUCCCAAGUUCAAAAAAUAAGACAAGUUGGGUUGUCUUUUCUUCAAAAAUUUCUUAAUUAGAAUUUUUGUUCUUAGACUUGGGUACUCUAUAAAUUUCAAUUUUCGUUAUAAAAAUUGAACAUAUCAAGCAUAUCAAUUUUAUUUUCCAAAAUUCACAGUCAUCAAUAAAUAUGAUAAAAUAUCAUUUUAUCAUUUCUAGUUUAUGUGCCAUCAAGUUCACACAUAUCAUAAUCUAUUAUAUUUAGAGAUUCAUAUUCUCUAAAUUCUGAUUUAUAUGAACUUUUGGUUCAUAUAUCUUGACUGCAAUAAAUAAAAUUGUCUAAUCAUAUAACGUUGGAAUUAAGUCCAAGUUACUCGAGUUUAAAAUUAAACGCUUGUUCACAUGUCAAAUAUUAAAAUCACACAACUAAUAAAAUAGAAGGAGAAUUUUAAUUUUGAACCUACCAUUAAAGGUGCAAUCUUUUCCCACAUAAAUACAUGAUACACAAGUCUUUCUUUAAGUCUGAGUUAACUCAGUCUUAUUCAAUAAAAAUCUGAAAUUCAGAUUCUUUCUUAUUUUUAAAGCAUGCAACAAGUUCAAACCUUAGCAUUAGCAUCAAGGGAAAAAUGGGUAUUCUAAAUUCUUGCAUUUUAAUAUGCUAACUUGCGACUCUGUAUACCCAACAAUAUGCCAUAAAAGUACCUAUACCAUUUGUAUAAUUCGUUGCAUAAGUUAUGGCCAUUCUUCUUACUGUUUGAAAAAACAUCACCUUUACGUGACAUAGAUUUUUCAAUUCUGGUUACUGUUUUAGUGAUUAACGUAACAAACUAAACUUGUUUGGUUCUGUGACGAAUAAUUUGUUUUGUAACAACAAAUUAUAGUCUUAAGCAAAUAUUGUUCGAUUUUUUAUUUUAUUCACGAUAUGGUUUUGAUUUUUGAGAACAAAUUUCAAUCAAAUUCAAAGUCACAUACGUGAAUUUCUUAGUGUUGUUGUUUAUAACUACAACCACUUCAUCGUUUCAGUCAAAAGAUGUAUUUCUAUAGCUUGAUUUAUCCUUAAUGUGUUCAGGGACAACUUAACCUCAAUAAAUAACUUCUUCGGUAGACGUAGCAGAUCGAAACGUCUUAAAAUUGUUGUUUUUGGAUUUCCAAACUGUUGUAUUUGGAUUUCCAAAUUCUAUUAUCUACCGAAGUUGUUACUAGGUUGAGUCACGACCAGAUCGCUCUCUUUAAGACGUUUCGUGGCACUGCCCAAAAUUGUGCAAGGCAGACUAUCAACCACGCCGCCUCCAAGAUAAAACAAGCCCAGCUACAACUGUUCGAUUAACUACUGCACCGUAGAAAAUCGUUCGAGAAUUACACCUCCAAAUAUGGUACUAAGACCACUCUUUAAUACUGAAACCACUUUAAUAUGGCACUGUUACCACUCUAUAUGGUGCUGAGACCACUCAAAUAUGGUGUUACCACCAUUCUAAUUAUUAACUUCUCCAACUAUGAUACUAUGAUCACUCAAAUAUGGUUUUACACCAUUCUAACGUCUAACUUCUUCAAGAAUCGAAGAAGAAUAUAUUUUAAGAUCAUUCAUAUUUUUGAAGGGACAUUAUACCGAAAAGGGACUAUGAUCUUAAAUUAUUAUUUAUUCCGAAGGACAUAAAAAUAUCGAAGGGACUAUGAACUUAAGACCAUUCUUAAUUCCGAAGGGACAUUUAAACCGAAUAGGGACUAUGGUCUUAAGAACACUCUUUAUUCCGAAGGGACAGAAAAAGGAGAUGAAGAGAAGAAAGACUCGUCAACACAAGUCAAGGGAGAAGAGAGAAAGAGUUCCCGACAACUCAAUAAAACUCUUUGGUGUGUUUUUUGAACUGAGUGGAGUCCUCUAUUUAUAUAGAGAUUCUGUAACUGUUUUAGCAAAAAUUGUGACAACAGUUACUCUAGUGGAUAAGAUUAAAAUGAAGUUUAUCCAUUAAUCAGUUCAACAACACUUGUGGAUAGGAUCAAAAGAAACAAAUCCACAAAAGUGGAGGAAACAAACUAUUGGAUUUGAAUGAAGGAAAUAUAAUAAUAAUUAAAUUAUUAUUCUUAUCACAACCACCAUAAGCUAAAUUUAUGGAAAGUGAUAUUCUCGAAUAAAAUAAUAAUUACUAUUAUUUUUAUCACUAUCAAGUAUUUAAAAUUAAAUACCACAAUUUAAACACUACUAAUGUGUGUGUUCUAUUUUAUGCGGGACCCCCACACUCUAUUUUUUCAAUUCACACAACAUUAGAUCAAAGUAUAAUUACUUGGUGUUUAAUCUUUCAAUUUUUCAUCCAACAUCACAUCAAUGUUCCAACAAUCCCCCACUUGAAUUUAAAAAAUGGUUUCAAUAAUAACGUCAAAACGUUUCUAUAAGGUUGCUAAUAAACAAAGGUGUCGCCUACAACUUGAACCUUUGCAUAGCGGAUAAUAUUCCGAUUUAACAAGAGUUGCUUACAGCAUUGAACUCUAUCUCAGACAUAGAACCCACACACAAACCUUUUCCUAAGGUGUAUUCUAAAAGCUCGUGCGUUUUAUGGCCCUGCACGUCUAUCCCGGUUUUAACGAACGUUCUAGGUAUUCUGCCCCGAAUACCAUAGGAAUCGGCCUAAGUUCCACAUUCGCAUAGGUGAGUCUAUCAAGAGUACUCCUGUAGCUAGGUACUCCACUCCACAUAGAGUAUAGAUCUCAUUAAGAGUUUCUAUUAUCUCAUCCUUCUGUCACUGCAGGAAUCAUGCUUUCUUACUUUUCUCAUAGCAUGUUCUAUCACUCAUGACUUGUUAUUACCCAUUGAACCUAUUUCUUGGGAUCUCCAAUCAUGUAGGUCGGGUUACCAUCACUUGUGACCUUUGGGCAUUAGUCCCAUCCUAUUGGAUGUGUUUAGGACUUUCUUUCUAGUAAUUCCUUUCGUCAAAGGAUUGACUAAUUCUUUAUCAGUACGUGCACGAUAUACUUUAACCGUUCCUUUUAGAGCUCUCUAAUCAUUCUGUGUUCGUGCCUUAAUUAUCGUCUCUCACCAUUGUGGUAACGAUUCUCAAUUUUGUAAUAGCUGCAGACUAUCACAAUAAAUUAACACUUCGGACAACGGUUUCACCCACUGAGGGUUCUUAGCUAGCAAGCAUCUUAUCAACUUGCUUCUUCACUAGUUUUCUCUAGUGUUCUCAUCUCAGAUUCAUUCCAUAAUAUCAUUUGUUUCAACAAAUAACUCCUCCAGUGAUGCUCAAUGGGCAGUCACUGGUCGCUUUGAGACUCAUCUGAAGGAUGUUCAAUUUUUUAUCUUGUACCACUCAUGUACAAUAUGAUACUUCUCAUUUGUAUCUUGUACCAUUCAAGUACAAUAGGAUACUUCUCAUAAUGUAAUCCUAGAGUCAUAAUCUUCUUAAGGCACCUCAUGACUCUUUCAAUAGCAUGUCAAUGCUUCUUAUCCGUCUACUAAUAAACUUGAACAAAAAUCUCAUGACGUGGCCAACGUCGAGUCUAAUACAUUCAAUGGCGUACCAUCUCAAGUGUUCUUGAAAGGUUUUAUACUUGCAAGUUUAUAGUCAAAUAAUUACAUUCCUUAAGAUAUUCUCAACUUUGUGAGAUUCAUCAGAAAAGUUCUCUUUUCUGAUCUAGUAAUCUUGAAACCAAGAAUUACUUCAACUUUGUCUAGGUCUUUCUUAUCAAUGUUAUUGAUAAACAAUGAUUUCAUAUAAUUCAUAACAUGAAUCGUUAAACCAAAUAUGAGCAAGUCGUCUUCAUAGAGACAUAUGAUCGUGAAAAUAUUAUUUGUCACUUUCAUUCACUUUAUACUCAUUCGAUAGCAUUAGAAUGUCGAAUUUUUCAUGUCAUUCCUUAAGAGUUUAUUUUAGACCUCACAAAGAAUUAUCUAACUUACAGAACUUGUUUUCUAGUCCAUGAAUCACAAAACCUUCAGGUUGUUUCAUAUAGACUUCUUCUUCUAGUUCACCAUAAAGAAGGCAACUUUCACAUCCAUUUGGAGUACUAUCGAGUUAUGAACG
rnacentral:lncRNA from 1 species